AAACCAGCACCUCAAGUGGUCAGGAUGAUUAUUGGGCCUAAAGCAUCCGUAGCCUGCUCAGUAAGUUUUCGGUUAAAUCUGUACGCUCAACGUACAGGCUGCCGGGAAUACUGCAGAGCUAGGGAGUGGGAGAGGUAGACGGUACUCGGGAGGAAGUGGUAAAAUGCUUUGAUCUUUCGAUGACCACCUGUGGCGAAGGCGGUCUACCAGAACACGUCCGACGGUGAGGGAUGAAAGCUGGGGGAGCAAACCGGAUUAGAAACCCCGGUAGUCC
rnacentral:rRNA from 1 species